GAAUAGAGUCUGAGGUCUGUCUCAGACUCCUGGACCGCCUUCUGACCGGCUAGGAUGUGUGGGCAAAGGUGGAAGGAGGCCGCCACAGUGCUUGGCUUUCUGCAUGUCACAGGCAAGGUGGAUAUUAGAAGCCCUUGUCAGUUUUACAAAUCCAGAGCAGAUAGAAAGAAGGUUUCUGACAGCCCUGGUGUGAGCCAUGUGCCCAUGAUGAAUCCAAUCACCGUGGUUAGGUCAUCUGGUUUGCUCCAGCCCCUGGGACACAGAGCUGUGAGAAAGCAUGCAUCCUUUCAGAUCCAACUGGUGGCGGGCGUGACCCUCCAGGAAAUUUUCCUUUGCUGGCUGCCCGAGUUGGCCAGACAACUUAUCCUCUGAUUGGGGGGUCACACAUCACCCCAAGAGAAUGGUGAUUUUUUUCUGAAGGCAAUGGCAGCAGAGGGAGAGGGAGGAGGCUUAAAAUAACACACACACACACACACACACACACACACGUGCGCACAUGCAGAAGACCAAUGUGUAACACUGAUGGACUCACACAGACUUCAGGAUUAAUUUAUAGAUGCUUCUUAAGCUGAAGUGACUCGUUCAGGCAGCUGGGCCAGGCCAGGCCACGCUUCUUGGGCUUUCCAUCUGCUGAACCAUUCCCGCCUCAGCCCCAGCUAAUGUAGAGGAAGAAAAGUGCUGACAGUGGCCACAGGCCAUGGUGGGAUCAUGCUCCAGGUCUUUGCACUCAAGCCGCCUGGAAUGGCAGAGUUCUAAUGAUUUUUUUUUUUUUAACUUCUUCAUUGUUUUGUUUUUUAACUGCAGCAAAAUCUUCAGAGGGUGCCAUAUACCUGUCUUUUGUGUGUAAUGCAACGACUUUUGAUGGACGUAUAUACCACGUCACCCAAGUUACAAAACAUUCCAUUGCCCCAGAAAGUUCUUUUGUGUCCCUUCCAGUUACAGUCACCCCAAAGGUGCCAUUCUUCUGAUUUCUUUCACCAUACCCAAAUUCUAGAGCUUCAUGUCAGAACAAUCACCCUAGGUUUAUUAUCUUGUAUUAUUUUUUUUCCACUCAGCCCAAGGUCUGUGAAGUUCAUCCAGCUGUUGUGUGCAUCGGUAUUUGAAUCCAAUAUCCUCUGACUCCUAGCCCAGCAUGUGAACCCACACCUGUUGGUUUGCCUCUGUUCACUGGCAGUUCUGUUGUUUCCAGUUUGGGGCUAUUGCGAAGAAAGCUGCACCAAGCAUCCAUGUACCAGACACUGUGUGGACACAGGCUUUCAUUCUCUUCAAUUAAAAAUCUAAGAGUAGAACUGCUGGAUCAUAAGGAGGCAAAUAUUUAAAAUUUAGAAGAAAUUUAUCAUUGAAGCAGUUGUACUGCUUACACUAUCUGCAC
rnacentral:lncRNA from 1 species